rnacentral:rRNA from 1 species
UUUUAUGGAGAGUUUGAUCCUGGCUCAGGAUGAACGCUGGCGGCGUGCCUAAUACAUGCAAGUCGAGCGAACAGACGAGGAGCUUGCUCCUCUGACGUUAGCGGCGGACGGGUGAGUAACACGUGGAUAACCUACCUAUAAGACUGGGAUAACUUCGGGAAACCGGAGCUAAUACCGGAUAAUAUAUUGAACCGCAUGGUUCAAUAGUGAAAGACGGUUUUGCUGUCACUUAUAGAUGGAUCCGCGCCGCAUUAGCUAGUUGGUAAGGUAACAGCUUACCAAGGCAACGAUGCGUAGCCGAC